UUUUAGCUACUAAAGUAUUGUAGUCGCCAUAUAUUACAAUUGGCGACCAAAUUUCCAUUUAGUCGCUGUUUAAUAGAAGUUUAGGCUACUAACAUUUAAUUUUGUCGCCAUAUUGUAUCAUUUGGCGACUAAACACUUUUUGUCGCCAAAAAAAGGGCAUUUUUGUGAUUACUUUUUGCGACCAAAUCUGGUUUAGUUGUUGUUUAUUCAGUAUUACCGACGAAUUUUUUUAUUUAGUAGCCAAAGAGGGAUCUUUAGCUGACCAAUUGUUUGCCGCCGUUAAGGUUUUUGGCGACAAAUAAUCGUUUAGUCGCCAAAUGUUCGAAAAAAUUUUUAGAGGGAAAAUAAGUAAUUUCGCACCCAGUACAUAUAUAUUACACAUAUUUUUUUUGUUCUCUUCUGUCUCACACACCGACAUCAACAUACCAAACCCGUCCCUACCAAACCCGUCGCUCACCACCGGCGAUCAUCACCGUCGCAGGCCACCGGCGCUCGCCACGACCACCACUGCAAAUCGGCGAUCAGCACUACCGGCCAUCAUCACCAUCGCAGGUUUUACCAUGGUUAUGACAACUAUAUGACUUAUGCUUUUCCGCAUGAUGAACUAAAGCCUCUAGCCAAAACAUUCACCGACUCCCUUGUCCAGCUACGAAAUUUGAAGCUUGAACAUUUGCCACAACAGCAUCAUGGAUCUGCCCUCACACUUGUAGAAUCGCUAUCCAGCCUUGUUAUCAUUGGGGAACAACACAGAAUUUGAAACGGGCUGUUCUUUGGCUUCCUGAAAAUCUAACUUUUCAUGUUGAUGCGAGGAUACAUCUUCUUCAGUGCAACAUAAGAGUUCUUGGAGGACUUGUUUCUGCUCAUAUUCUUGCAACUGAUUCUACAAACAACUUGGUCCAAAGAAAUUAUAAGAAUCAACUUCUUAUCCUGCCAUAAGAUUUACGGCCGCGCUUUCUACCUGCUUUUGAUACCCCCACUGGAU